rnacentral:rRNA from 1 species
CCUACGGGGGGCUGCAGUGGGGAAUAUUGCACAAUGGGGGAAACCCUGAUGCAGCGACGCCGCGUGAGUGAAGAAGUAAUUCGUUAUGUAAAGCUCUAUCAGCAGGGAAGAAAAUGACGGUACCUGAGUAAGAAGCCCCGGCUAACUACGUGCCAGCAGCCGCGGUAAUACGUAGGGGGCAAGCGUUAUCCGGAUUUACUGGGUGGAAAGGGAGCGUAGACGGCAGGGCAAGUCUGGAGUGAAAGGCGGGGGCUCAACCCCCGGACUGCUCUGGAAACUGCCAGGCUGGAGUGCAGGAGAGGUAAGUGGAAUUCCUAGUGUAGCGGUGAAAUGCGUAGAUAUUAGGAGGAACACCAGUGGCGAAGGCGGCUUACUGGACUGUAACUGACGUUGAGGCUCGAAAGCGUGGGGAGCAAACAGGAUUAGAUACCCCUGUAGUC